rnacentral:rRNA from 1 species
GGAUGGUUGUUUGAACCGCAUGGUUCAAACAUAAAAGGUGGCUUCGGCUACCACUUACAGAUGGACCCGCGGCGCAUUAGCUAGUUGGUGAGGUAACGGCUCACCAAGGCGACGAUGCGUAGCCGACCUGAGAGGGUGAUCGGCCACACUGGGACUGAGACACGGCCCAGACUCCUACGGGAGGCAGCAGUAGGGAAUCUUCCGCAAUGGACGAAAGUCUG